AGCGAACGCUGGCGGCAGGCUUAACACAUGCAAGUCGAGCGGGCACUUUCGGGUGUCAGCGGCGGACGGGUGAGUAACGCGUGGGAACGUGCCCUCUGGUUCGGAAUAACUCAGGGAAACUUGAGCUAAUACCGGAUACGCCCUUUUGGGGAAAGGCUUGCUGCCGGAGGGUCGGCUCGCGUCUGAUUAUCUAGUUGGUGAGGUAACGGCUCACCAAGGCGACGAUCAGUAGCUGGUCUGAGAGGAUGAUCAGCCACACUGGGACUGAGACACGGCCCAGACUCCUACGGGAGGGAGCAGUGGGGAAUAUUGGACAAGGGGGGCAAGCCUGAUCCAGCCAUGCCGCGUGAGUGAUGAAGGCCUUAGGGUUGUAAAGCUCUUUUAUCCGGGACGAUAAUGACGGUACCGGAGGAAUAAGCCCCGGCUAACUUCGUG
rnacentral:rRNA from 1 species